UAUAAACCAAUAAUUCUACAAUUUUCUCAGAAUUUACUAAAACACUUUCUCUCGAGGUGGUUCGUGUUUUCUUUUAAGGAUUUUAUACAUUAAUAUAAAUAUGCGACGGAAAGUAACUAUUAUAUUUCUUUCCAAUAUAUUAGCUGUGUGUUAAAAAUAUGAGGAAUAUGGGUUGGAAUAAAUUAGAAACUCAAAAUAGUUUUCAAAAGAUUUCUGACCUGACUUGCAUCUGGAAUGUUGAUAGGAGAACCGGUGAAAAAUGAAGAGAUGAAUACAAACAAGGAUGAAUAUUAUGAAAAUUUGAACGUCCAUAGGAACUCAUUCUACAAGUAGAAAUAUACAUUACAUAAGUAUUUAUUCAUAUAAUGGGUAUAUUAUGAACACUUUUGGUUAAAUUUUAUAUUCUUAAUAAAACAUUCAAUUAAAUAUUUUUAAUUA